rnacentral:rRNA from 1 species
AUUGAACGCUGGCGGCAUGCCUUACACAUGCAAGUCGAACGGCAGCGGGGGAGAAGCUUGCUUUUCCUGCCGGCGAGUGGCGAACGGGUGAGUAAUACAUCGGAACGUGCCCCGUAGUGGGGGAUAACUAGUCGAAAGAUUAGCUAAUACCGCAUACGACCUGAGGGUGAAAGUGGGGGACCGCAAGGCCUCAUGCUAUAGGAGCGGCCGAUGUCUGAUUAGCUAGUUGGUGGGGUAAAGGCCUACCAAGGCGACGAUAAGUAGCUGGUCUGAGAGGACGAUCAGGCAGACUGGGACAGAGACCCGGCCCAGACUGUUACGGGAGGCAGCAGUAGGGAAUUUUGGGCAAUGAGCGAAAGCCUGAUCCAGCAAUGCCGCGUGUGUGAAGAAGGCCUUCGGGUUGUAAAGCACUUUUGUCCGGAAAGAAAUGGCUCUGGUUAAUACCUGGGGUCGAUGACGGUACCGGAAGAAUAAGGACCGGCUAACUACGUGCCAGCCGCCGCCGUAA